GAAUGAAAAAAGAAGGGGGGAAAGCUGGAAACUGCGAUUAGCAACGAGGUUCUAGAAAGAAAUAGGGACUUCCUAUACAAGAUAAGAAAAUUUCAGUGUUUGCUUCUGCCCUGUUUCUCCUCGUGCAACUUUUCUCACUGCCUCAGAACUUUUUCAAUUCCUUUCCCCAAACUGGAUGCUGGUCUAUGAGAUUUCCUCGGCUUUUGAGCUCAUCUGGGUGACAGAUGAAGGUCAACCUUUGAUCAACACCCAUGGAAGGAGAGGCUCCUCUUAAGGAUGAACAGAAGCAGCUACAAGCAGGAGCCAACCAAAAAGAGGAUGAUGCAGAUGAAGCUUUUAUUCUCCUUUUAGAGUCCCUUGAGGAUGAUUUACAAGAUGAGGGAAAAGAGGAGGAAGUAAGACUCCAAGGGACAUUGCCAGAAAGAGGGGAGGAUGAAAAUGAGAACUGUUGGGAAGGAAAUGAAUCCCUGAGGCAGAAUCACGCAGACCAGAGGAGAGACAUAUCUCACAGAUAUCUGCGUGGUGUUGCCUCUGAAGACGAAAUG